rnacentral:rRNA from 1 species
AUUGAACGCUGGCGGCAGGCCUAACACAUGCAAGUCGAGCGGAUGAAGGGAGCUUGCUCCUGGAUUCAGCGGCGGACGGGUGAGUAAUGCCUAGGAAUCUGCCUGGUAGUGGGGGAUAACGUCCGGAAACGGGCGCUAAUACCGCAUACGUCCUGAGGGAGAAAGUGGGGGAUCUUCGGACCUCACGCUAUCAGAUGAGCCUAGGUCGGAUUAGCUAGUUGGUGGGGUAAAGGCCUACCAAGGCGACGAUCCGUAACUGGUCUGAGAGGAUGAUCAGUCACACUGGAACGGAGACACGGUCCAGACUCCUACGGGAGGCAGCAGUGGGGAAUAUUGGACAAUGGGCGAAAGCCUGAUCCAGCCAUGCCGCGUGUGUGAAGAAGGUCUUCGGAGUGUAAAGCACUUUAAGUUGGGAGGAAGGGCAGUAAGUUAAUACCUUGCUGUUUUGACGUUACCAACAGAAUAAGCACCGGCUAACUUCGUG